UACAGAGGGGGCAAGCGUUGUUCGGAAUUACUGGGCGUAAAGGGCGCGUAGGCGGCCUUCUAAGUCGAACGUGAAAUCCCCGGGCUCAACCCGGGAACUGCGUCCGAUACUGGAAGGCUUGAAUCCGGGAGAGGGAUGUGGAAUUCCAGGUGUAGCGGUGAAAUGCGUAGAUAUCUGGAGGAACACCGGUGGCGAAGGCGACAUCCUGGACCGGUAUUGACGCUGAGGCGCGAAAGCGUGGGGAGCGAACAGG
rnacentral:rRNA from 1 species